UAACGGCGAGUGAACCGGGAAGAGCUCAAAUUUGAAAUCUGGCGUGCUCAGUGCGUCCGAGUUGUAAUCUAUAGAGUCGUUUUCCGUGCCGGACUGUGUCCAAGUCCCUUGGAACAGGGUAUCAAAGAGGGUGAUAAUCCCGUACUUGACACAAUGACCGGUGCUCUGUGAUACGUCUUCUACGAGUCGAGUUGUUUGGGAAUGCAGCUCAAAAUGGGUGGUGAGUUCCAUCUAAAGCUAAAUAUUGGCGAGAGACCGAUAGCGAACAAGUACCGUGAGGGAAAGAUGAAAAGCACUUUGGAAAGAGAGUUAAACAGUACGUGAAAUUGUUAAAAGGGAAACGAUUGAAGUCAGUCGUGACUGAGAGGCUCAGCCGGUUCUGCCGGUGUAUUCCCCUCAGUCGGGUCAACAUCAGUUUUGUUCGGUGGAUAAGGGCAGUUGGAAGGUGGCACCCUCGGGUGUGUUAUAGCCAGCUGUCGCAUACAUCGGAUGAGACUGAGGAAUGCAGCUCGCCUUUAUGGCCGGGGUUCGCCCACGUUCGAGCUUAGGAUGUUGACAUAAUGGCUUUAA
rnacentral:rRNA from 1 species